UACAGAGGUCUCAAGCGUUUGUUCGGAUUCAUUGGGCGUAAAGGGUGCGUAGGUGGCGCCAUAAGUCAGGUGUGAAAUCUCGGGGCUUAACCCCGAAACUGCACUUGAUACUGUGGUGCUCGAGUACUGGAGAGGAGAUUGGAAUUUACGGUGUAGCAGUGAAAUGCGUAGAUAUCGUAAGGAAGACCAGUGGCGAAGGCGAAUCUCUGGACAGUUACUGACACUGAGGCACGAAGGCCAGGGGAGCAAACGGG
rnacentral:rRNA from 1 species